rnacentral:rRNA from 1 species
UUCCGGUUGAUCCUGCCGGACCUGACUGCUAUCGGAUUGAUACUAAGCCAUGCGAGUCUUUGUAGCAAUACAAGGCAGACGGCUCAGUAACACGUAGUCAAUCUAACCUAUGGACGGGGAUAACCUCGGGAAACUGAGAAUAAUACCCGAUAGGUCAUUAUGCCUGGAAUGGCUUAUGGCUCAAAUGAUUUAUCGCCAUAGGAUGGGACUGCGGUCUAUCAGCUUGUUGGUGAGGUAAUGGCCCACCAAGGCUAUAACAGAUACGGGCUCUGAGAGGAGAGGCCCGGAGAUGGGUACUGAGACACGGACCCAGGCCCUAUGGGGCGCAGCAGGCGAGAAAACUUUGCAAUGUGCGAAAGCACGACAAGGUUAAUCCGAGUGGUUUCUGCUAAAGAGAUCUUUUGUCAGUCCUAAAAACACUGAUGAAUAAGGGGUGGGCAAGUUCUGGUGUCAGCCGCCGCGGUAAAACCAGCACCUCAAGUGGUCAGGAGGAUUAUUGGGCCUAAAGCAUCCGUAGCCGGCUGUGUAAGUUUUCGGUUAAAUCUACAUGCUCAACAUGUAGGCUGCCGAAAAUACUGUACAGCUAGGGAGUGGGAGAGGUAGACGGUACUCCGUAGGAAGGGGUAAAAUCCUUUGAUCUAUGGAUGACCACCUGUGGCGAAGGCGGUCUACUAGAACACGUCCGACGGUGAGGGAUGAAAGCUGGGGGAGCAAACCGGAUUAGAUACCCGGGUAGUCCCAGCUGUAAACCAUGCAAACUCAGUGAUGCACUGGCUUGUGGCCAGUGCAGUGCUGCAGGGAAGCCGUUAAGUUUGCCGCCUGGGAAGUACGUACGCAAGUAUGAAACUUAAAGGAAUUGGCGGGGGAGCACCACAAGGGGUGAAGCCUGCGGUUCAAUUGGAGUCAACGCCGGGAAUCCC